UACGAAGGGGGCUAGCGUUGCUCGGAAUCACUGGGCGUAAAGCGCACGUAGGCGGAUUGUUAAGUCAGGGGUGAAAUCCUGGAGCUCAACUCCAGAACUGCCUUUGAUACUGAGAAGCUUGAGUCCGGGAGAGGUGAGUGGAACUGCGAGUGUAGAGGUGAAAUUCGUAGAUAUCGGGAAGAACACCCGUGGCGAAGGCGGCUCUCUGGAACGCAACUGACGCUGAGACGCGAAAGCGUGGGGAGCAAACAGG
rnacentral:rRNA from 1 species